rnacentral:rRNA from 1 species
UACGAAGGGGGCUAGCGUUGCUCGGAAUCACUGGGCGUAAAGGGUGCGUAGGCGGGGCUUUAAGUCAGGGGUGAAAUCCUGGAGCUCAACUCCAGAACUGCCUUUGAUACUGAGGAUCUUGAGUUCGGGAGAGGUGAGUGGAACUGCGAGUGUAGAGGUGAAAUUCGUAGAUAUUCGCAAGAACACCAGUGGCGAAGGCGGCUCACUGGUCCGGUACUGACGCUGAGGUGCGAAAGCGUGGGGAGCAAACAGG